AUAUCACGUUGAAACACCGAUUCUCGUCCGAUCGCCGAAGUUAAGCAAUGUUGAACCUGGUCAAUAUCUAGAUGGGUGACCAUUCGGGUACGCCAGGUGCUGUCAG